rnacentral:rRNA from 1 species
AUUGAACGCUGGCGAAAUGCUUUACACAUGCAAGUCGAACGGCAGCACGGACUUCGGUCUGGUGGCGAGUGGCGAACGGGUGAGUAAUGUAUCGGAACGUGCCCAGUCGUGGGGGAUAACGUAGUGAAAAUUACGCUAAUACCGCAUACGAUCUAUGGAUGAAAGCGGGGGAUCGCAAGACCUCGCGCGAUUGGAGCGGCCGAUAUCAGAUUAGGUAGUUGGUGGGGUAAAGGCCCACCAAGCCAACGAUCUGUAGCUGGUCUGAGAGGACGACCAGCCACACUGGAACUGAGACACGGUGCAGACUCCUACGGGAGGCAGCAGUGGGGAAUUUUAGACAAUGGGCGAAAGCCUGAUCCAGCCAUUCCGCGUGCAGGAUGAAGGCCCUCGGGUUGUAAACUGCUUUUGUACAGAACGAAAAGGUUUCUACUAAUACUAGGAGCUCAUGACGGUACUGUAAGAAUAAGCACCGGCUAACUACGUGCCAGCCGCCGCCGUAA